rnacentral:tRNA from 1 species
GCGGAUGUGGCGGAACUGGCAGACGCGCUAGAUUCAGGUUCUAGUGGCCGCAAGGUCGUGGAGGUUCGAGUCCUCUCAUCCGCACCA